GAGUUUGAUCUUGGCUCAGAACGAACGCUGGCGGCAUGCCUAAUACAUGCAAGUCGAACGAGAUCUUCGGAUCUAGUGGCGCACGGGUGCGUAACGCGUGGGAAUCUACCCUUGGGUUCGGAAUAACAGUUGGAAACGACUGCUAAUACCGGAUGAUGACGUAAGUCCAAAGAUUUAUCGCCCAAGGAUGAGCCCGCGUAGGAUUAGCUAGUUGGUGGGGUAAAGGCCUACCAAGGCGACGAUCCUUAGCUGGUCUGAGAGGAUGAUCAGCCACACUGGGACUGAGACACGGCCCAGACUCCUACGGGAGGCAGCAGUAGGGAAUAUUGGACAAUGGGCGAAAGCCUGAUCCAGCAAUGCCGCGUGAGCGAUGAAGGCCUUAGGGUUGUAAAGCUCUUUUACCCGGGAUGAUAAUGACAGUACCGGGAGAAUAAGCCCCGGCUAACUCCGUGCCAGCA
rnacentral:rRNA from 1 species